CUCAGGAUGAACGCUAGCGACAGGCCUAACACAUGCAAGUCGAGGGGCAUCGGGGCGAGGAGCAAUCCUUGCCGCCGGCGACCGGCGCACGGGUGAGUAACGCGUAUGCGACCUGCCCGUUGCAGGGGGAUAAUCGGGAGAAAUCCCGUCUAAUACCGCGUAAUGCCGCGGGGCUGCAUGGCCCUGCGGCCAAAGGAAGCGAUUCCGGCAACGGAUGGGCAUGCGUGACAUUAGCUAGUUGGCGGGGCAACGGCCCACCAAGGCGACGAUGUCUAGGGGUUCUGAGAGGAAGGUCCCCCACACUGGUACUGAAACACGGACCAGACUCCUACGGGAGGCAGCAGUGAGGAAUAUUGGUCAAUGGGCGCGAGCCUGAACCAGCCAAGUCGCGUGAGGGAUGACGGCCCUACGGGUUGUAAACCUCUUUUGUCGGGGAGCAAAUUCCGCCACGUGUGGCGGAGUCGAGAGUACCCGAAGAAAAAGCAUCGGCUAACUCCGUGCCAGCAGCCGCGGUAAUACGGAGGAUGCGAGCGUUAUCCGGAUUUAUUGGGUUUAAAGGGUGCGUAGGCGGACUGUCAAGUCAGCGGUAAAAUACGGGGGCUCAACCUCCGCCCGCCGUUGAAACUGACGGUCUUGAGUGGGCGAGAAGUAUGCGGAAUGCGUGGUGUAGCGGUGAAAUGCAUAGAUAUCACGCAGAACUCCGAUUGCGAAGGCAGCAUACCGGCGCCCAACUGACGCUGAAGCACGAAAGCGUGGGUAUCGAACAGGAUUAGAUACCCUGGUAGUCCACGCAGUAAACGAUGAAUACUAGCUGUCCGGGGCGAAUGAGCCCUGGGUGGCACAGCGAAAGCGUUAAGUAUUCCACCUGGGGAGUACGCCGGCAACGGUGAAACUCAAAGGAAUUGACGGGGGCCCACACAAGCGGAGGAACAUGUGGUUUAAUUCGAUGAUACGCGAGGAACCUUACCCGGGCUCAAACGACACAGGAACGUACCUGAAAGGGUUCGGCUCUACGGAGCCUGUGUCGAGGUGCUGCAUGGUUGUCGUCAGCUCGUGCCGUGAGGUGUCGGCUUAAGUGCCAUAACGAGCGCAACCCCCAUCGACAGUUGCUAACAGGUCAGGCUGAGGACUCUGUCGAGACUGCCGGCGCAAGCUGCGAGGAAGGCGGGGAUGACGUCAAAUCAGCACGGCCCUUACGUCCGGGGCGACACACGUGUUACAAUGGCAGGUACAGCGGGAAGCCACCUGGCGACAGGGAGCGGAACCCGAAAGCCUGUCUCAGUUCGGAUUGGAGUCUGCAACCCGACUCCAUGAAGCUGGAUUCGCUAGUAAUCGCGCAUCAGCCACGGCGCGGUGAAUACGUUCCCGGGCCUUGUACACACCGCCCGUCAAGCCAUGGAAGCCGGGGGUGCCUGAAGUGCGCUGCCGCGAGGAGCGCCCUAGGGUGAAACCGGUGACUGGGGAUAAGUCGUAACAAGGUA
rnacentral:rRNA from 1 species